GGUCUAAUAGUGUAGAGGUUAGCACAUGGGAUUUUGAGUCUAAGACAAUGUUUCCCAUAACCCAGGUUCGAGUCCUGGUUAGACCU